UUAUUGGUUGCCGUUGUUUCCUUUGAGCAACGAGAAGCCUGUUCCUGCCACCUAUUUAUACUUAUUGGUUAAUUAAGAGCUGCCGUCUUUUGCGUGGUGGAAUUCAUCUGCAGUAGUAGCCGUUCUGUCUUCUUGUUCCUGGCUGCAAGGGAGACCUUCUCUGAAUUAAUAUUCAUGAAGAGCUACAGUCCUUUCAUCUUUCAGGAGGCACACCGUCUUGAGAUUUUUUGGCCGUUGCAAUGACCUCGACAGAGAAAUGAGACACUGCUUAAAGAAAGAGUAUCAAGAAAACAGAGCCAAGAGCCGAGUGCAUGCAGAAAAGUUGAGAGAGAAACUACAGAAUAGUCCAGAACUGUAGAAGAGCAGUUGACUGGACUGAUUGUACCUCAUGCAGGAAAGCUAAAGAAGUAUGCGGCUGCCUCUGGACAGGUUAAUAAAGAAAAUGAUGGGAGCCAAAGCAUUUGCAACGAAAGACAUGUGUGGACGGGAAGUCAAUAGGCUUACUACACUGUUCAGCAUUUUAAACGUAAUUUAAAAAUACAUUUUUCAAAACCAGAACUU